rnacentral:rRNA from 1 species
UAGGGAAUCUUCCACAAUGGGCGAAAGCCUGAUGGAACAACGCCGCGUGUGUGAUGAAGGGCUUCGGCUCGUAAAACACUGUUGUAAGAGAAGAAUGACAUUGAGAGUAACUGUUCAAUGUGUGACGGUAUCUUACCAGAAAGGAACGGCUAAAUACGUGCCAG